rnacentral:rRNA from 1 species
CCCUGCCAUUUGUACACACCGCCCGUCGCUCCUACCGAUUGGAUGGUCCGGUGAAAUGUUCGGAUUCAAGGGUCUACGCGGUUGCGUGGAUAUAUCUUGGAAAAGUUCAUUGAGCCUUAUCAUCUAGAGGAAGG